rnacentral:rRNA from 1 species
AGUGAACGCUGGCGGUAGGCCUAACACAUGCAAGUCGAACGGCAGCACAGGAGAGCUUGCUCUCUGGGUGGCGAGUGGCGGACGGGUGAGGAAUACAUCGGAAUCUACCUUUUCGUGGGGGAUAACGUAGGGAAACUUACGCUAAUACCGCAUACGACCUACGGGUGAAAGUGGGGGACCGCAAGGCCUCACGCGAUUAGAUGAGCCGAUGUCCGAUUAGCUAGUUGGCGGGGUAAUGGCCCACCAAGGCGACGAUCGGUAGCUGGUCUGAGAGGAUGAUCAGCCAAACUGGAACUGAGACACGGUCCAGACUCCUACGGGAGGCAGCAGUGGGGAAUAUUGGACAAUGGGCGCAAGCCUGAUCCAGCCAUACCACGUGGGUGAAGAAGGCCUUCGGGUUGUAAAGCCCUUUUGUUGGGAAAGAAAUCCUAUCGGUUAAUAACCGGUGGGGAUGACGGUACCCAAAGAAUAAGCACCGGCUAACUUCGUGCCAGCCGCCGCAGUAACAC